UCCGAGUUGACCCCGGCAGUCUCCUACGAGUCCCCGGCAUAACCCGCUGGCAACAUAGGACAAGGGUUGCGCUCGUUGCGGGACUUAACCCAACAUCUCACGACACGAGCUGACGACAGCCAUGCAGCACCUGUGUGUAGGUCCCGUAAGGGAAGGAAUCCAUCUCUGGAAAGUUCUCGACAUGUCAAGGCCAGGUAAGGUUCUUCGCGUUGCAUCGAAUUAAACCACAUACUCCACCGCUUGUGCGGGCCCCCGUCAAUUCCUUUGAGUUUCAGUCUUGCGACCGUACUCCCCAGGCGGGGCGCUUAAUGCGUUAGCUACGGCACGGAUUCCGUGGAAGGAACCCACACCUAGCGCCCACCGUUUACGGCGUGGACUAC
rnacentral:misc_RNA from 1 species